AGCUAGUUGGUGAGGUAAAGGCUUACCAAGGCGACGAUCUGUAGCGGGUCUGAGAGGAUGAUCCGCCACACUGGAACUGAGACACGGUCCAGACUCCUACGGGAGGCAGCAGUGGGGAAUUUUGGACAAUGGGGGCAACCCUGAUCCAGCCAUGCCGCGUGAGUGAAGAAGGCCUUCGGGUUGUAAAGCUCUUUCGGCCGGGAAGAAAUCGCAUAGGCCAAUACCCUGUGUGGAUGACGGUACCGGAAUAAGAAGCACCGGCUAACUACGUGCCAGCAGCCGCGGUAAUACGUAGGGUGCGAGCGUUAAUCGGAAUUACUGGGCGUAAAGCGUGCGCAGGCGGUUUUGUAAGACAGGCGUGAAAUCCCCGGGCUUAACCUGGGAACUGCGGUUGUGACUGCAAGGCUAGAGUACGGCAGAGGGGGGUGGAAUUCCACGCGUAGCAGUGAAAUGCGUAGAGAUGUGGAGGAACACCAAUGGCGAAGGCAGCCCCCUGGGUCGAUACUGACGCUCAUGCACGAAAGCGUGGGUAGCAAACAGGACUAGAUACCCUGGUAGUCCACGCCCUAAACUAUGUCAACUAGGUGUUGGGUGGGUAAAACCAUUUAGUACCGUAGCUAACGCGUGAAGUUGACCGCCUGGGGAGUACGGCCGCAAGGUUAAAACUCAAAGGAAUUGACGGGGACCCGCACAAGCGGUGGAUGAUGUGGAUUAAUUCGAUGCAACGCGAAAAACCUUACCUACCCUUGACAUGCCAGGAACUUGCCAGAGAUGGCUUGGUGCCCGAAAGGGAGCCUGGACACAGGUGCUGCAUGGCUGUCGUCAGCUCGUGUCGUGAGAUGUUGGGUUAAGUCCCGCAACGAGCGCAACCCUUGUCGUUAAUUGCCAUCAUUUAGUUGGGCACUUUAACGAGACUGCCGGUGACAAACCGGAGGAAGGUGGGGAUGACGUCAAGUCCUCAUGGCCCUUAUGGGUAGGGCUUCACACGUCAUACAAUGGUCGGUACAAAGGGUUGCCAAGCCGCGAGGCGGAGCCAAUCCCAGAAAGCCGAUCGUAGUCCGGAUUGCAGGCUGCAACUCGCCUGCAUGAAGUCGGAAUCGCUAGUAAUCGUGGAUCAGCAUGUCACGGUGAAUACGUUCCCGGGUCUUGUACACACCGCCCGUCACACCGUGGGAGCGGGUUCCGCCAGAAGUAGGUAGCCUAACCGCAAGGGGGGCGCUUACCACGGCGGGGUUCGUGACUGGGGUGAAGUCGUAACAAGGUAGCCGUAGGGGAACCUGCGGCUG
rnacentral:rRNA from 1 species